rnacentral:rRNA from 1 species
UACGAAGGGGGCUAGCGUUGUUCGGAUUUACUGGGCGUAAAGCGCACGUGGGCGGAUCUUUAAGUCAGAGGUGAAAUCCCAAGGCUCAACCUUGGAACUGCCUUUGAUACUGGGGAUUCUUGAGUCCGGGAGAGGUGAGUGGAACUGCGAGUGUAGAGGUGAAAUUCGUAGAUAUUCGCAAGAACACCAGUGGCGAAGGGCGGCUCACUGGCCCGGUACUGACGCUGAGGUGCGAAAGCGUGGGAGGCAAACAGG